rnacentral:rRNA from 1 species
GGCUAACUACGUGCCAGCAGCCGCGGUAAUACGUAGGUGGCGAAGCGUUAUCCGGAUUUAUUGGGCGUAAAGAGAGUGCAGGCGGUUUUCUAAGUCUGAUGUGAAAGACCUUCGGCUUAACCGGAGAAGUGCAUCGGAAACUGGAUAACUUGAGUGCAGAAGAGGGUAGUGGAACUCCAUGUGUAGCGGUGGAAUGCGUAGAUAUAUGGAAGAACACCAGUGGCGAAGGCGGCUACCUGGUCUGCAACUGACGCUGAGACUCGAAAGCAUGGGUAGCGAACAGGAUUAGAUACCCCUGGUAG